UACGUAGGGUGCGAGCGUUGUCCGGAAUUAUUGGGCGUAAAGAGCUCGUAGGCGGUGUGUCGCGUCGGCCGUGAAAACCUGCAGCUUAACUGUGGGCUUGCGGUCGAUACGGGCAUCACUGGAGUUCGGCAGGGGAGACUGGAAUUCCUGGUGUAGCGGUGAAAUGCGCAGAUAUCAGGAGGAACACCGGUGGCGAAGGCGGGUCUCUGGGCCGAUACUGACGCUGAGGAGCGGAAGCGUGGGGAGCGAACAGG
rnacentral:rRNA from 1 species